AGUUUAUGAACUUGAUAUAAGUAUAUAUUUUGAAAAUAUAAUAAAGAAGUUAAUCUUCUAUAAACUU
rnacentral:tRNA from 1 species